rnacentral:rRNA from 1 species
AUACGGGGGGUGCAAGCGUUAAUCGGAAUUACUGGGCGUAAAGCGCGCGUAGGCGGUUUGCUCAGUCGGAUGUGAAAGCCCAGGGCUCAACCUUGGAACUGCAUACGAUACUGGCAAACUAGAGUGUGAGAGAGGAUAGUGGAGUUUCCGGUGUAGCGGUGAAAUGCGUAGAUAUCGGAAGGAACAUCAGUGGCGAAGGCGACUGUCUGGCUCAACACUGACGCUGAGGUGCGAAAGCGUGGGUAGCAAACAGGAUUAGAAACCCUAGUAGUCC